rnacentral:rRNA from 1 species
GACGAACCGUGCGAACGUUAUUCGGAAUCACUGGGCUUAAAGCGUGUGUAGGCGGAUGCCUAAGUACCUUGUGAAAUCCCACGGCUCACCCGUGGAACUGCUUGGUAUACUGGGUGUCUUGAGCCACUUAGGGGCUACCGGAACAAAUGGUGGAGCGGUGAAAUGCGUAGAUAUCAUUUGGAACGCCAAUGGUGAAAACAGGUAGCUGGGAGUGUGCUGACGCUGAGACACGAAAGCCAGGGGAGCAAACGGG